CUCACGUCUGGCUCAGGUCUCACUUCCACAACCUAGGGGGCGUUCAACACAGGGCAGACACGUCACAUCUGCUCGUUGAAUAAAAAACGAGUGGCAAAAGUGAAAAAGAAACGAGAAACCUCUCCCCCCCUGGCGGAAGCAGCUAAGACAAACUUGCAGCGCUGGAGGCAGAAUCGUUCCCGGAUUCAGACUUCCCACACCUCUCCGAGCCCGCAGCCCACCCUGUGCAAACAUUUCCUGUAAGCUAGUCGCGUGUGGCUCCUCAGAGUCCCUACUUCAGUUUUUCACAGGCGCUCGUGGGGUUCCAGGCGGCCUCUCACAGAAGAGCUGAGCUCAAGACUGCAAGUCAGCCCUCCCGCCCAGCCGGCUCGCCGCUGUCUGUACAGGCCAAGGUUCGCCCCGCCCCCGUCGUCUCGGCAACGGUGAGCGACAGGUGCGCGCAGGCGCCGUUGGUGCGCGGGGCACGGCGGCCUCUGGGCGCGCGCUUCGGCGCGGCGUGGCACGCGGGGCUUCGCUGCUUGGCGCCGCUGUGAUCACCUCAGUGCCCUCGGACCUCCGGGCGCCCGUUCCGGUCGGCAACUGAUCUCCCCUGCGGCCGGGGUCGGGAGACGAGGCCACACGCUGCCGCGCGGUGGGACACAGGCGGCCAUGCCAGGUAAAGGGAAGAAAGGCAAAGGCACAGGAAGGCCACAUGGGAAGAAGCAGAAGAAGCCCGAGGUGGACAUCCUGAGCCCGGCUGCCAUGCUUAACCUGUACUACAUCGCGCACAACGCAGCCGAGUGCCUGCACCUGCGAGGUUUCCGCUGGCCCGGUGCGCCCAAGGGGAAAAAGGGCAGGAACAAGACCUAGGAGGAGCGAGUUGAAGAUAACAGGAUGAUGACUGCAAGCAAAAUAGACUUUGCUGAAGAAAUUUUGAAAUGCAAGCUCAGUGUGCUUUUCAGUGGUAAAUUAGGAUUUAAAAAUGCCUUUUACUUCUUCAGUUAACUCACGUAUAACUAAGGAGAGUUUUUUUAAGGGUUAAGGGAAGUGAGUUUUGAGUAAUCCCUACACUGUGUGGUGGAAUUCAUAGGACUUUUUAAAACUAUCAUCAUAAUUCUGUGUCAGAAUUAAACGUUGCUCUGGCAAGGCAGUUCCAGUUUGCGCGAGUUGUUUUCUUUUGCAGAAGGGGUUUGUUAUUGGAGAAGGCACAGCACAUGCUUGGGCUUACCUUAAACAGCCCUCUCUUGGGUGCUGUUUUUUUGUUUUUGCUUUUCAAACCUUG
rnacentral:lncRNA from 1 species